rnacentral:rRNA from 1 species
CCUACGGGAGGCAGCAGUAGGGAAUAUUGCACAAUGGGGGAAACCCUGAUGCAGCAACGCCGCGUGGGGGAUGAAGGUUUUCGGAUUGUAAACUCCUUUUGUUAGAGAAGAUAAUGACGGUAUCUAACGAAUAAGCACCGGCUAACUCCGUGCCAGCAGCCGCGGUAAUACGUAGGGUGCAAGCGUUACUCGGAAUCACUGGGCGUAAAGAGCGCGUAGGCGGGAGAGCAAGUCAGAUGUGAAAUCCUAGGGCUUAACCAUAGAACUGCUUUUGAAACUGUUAUUCUAGAGUAUGGGAGAGGUAGGUGGAAUUCUUGGUGUAGGGGUAAAAUCCGUAGAGAUCAAGAGGAAUACUCAUUGCGAAGGCGACCUGCUAGAACAUAACUGACGCUGAUGCGCGAAAGCGUGGGGAGCAAACAGGAUUAGAUACCCGAGUAGUC